GUGCUGGGUAAUGUGUGUGUGUGCUGGGUAAUGUGUGUGUGUGCUGGGUGAUGUGUGUGUGCUGGAUGGUGUGUGUGUGUGUGUGUACUGGAUUGUGUGUGUGUACUGGAUUGUGUGUGUUUGAAGAUGUGUGUGUGUGUGGGAAGAUGUGUGUGUGUGUGCCUCUCCAGCUCUGUCUCACAUUCGUGGGUCUCGUGAAUGUGAGACAGAGCUGGAGAUGGAACACAGAGUGUGCUGGGCCCCUGUGUGCAGGUAGCAGGGCAGGUCCUGCAGGAUCACUAGUGGGAACGGCGUUCCUGCUUUGGAAAAAGUGCAGGAACGCCAUUCCCAUGCGUUCCUGCAGGACUUGAGCCCUGAUAGUUUUCCUUUAAGCAAAUUAAAGGAACAUUCUGG